AGGGUGCCUGAAACCACAGGAGACUCCACGGGAAGAAGUUGCGGAGGAGAACUGGAAGGAGGAAGGGCCCCAGCGGCUUGGAGACCGGCGACAAGGGCAGUUUGUUCCCUGUUCAUGAGCCAUCAGUGUUAUGAAGAGAUGCCAUCUCAGAAGAUCUAGACUUCAUUCUCUUCCUGCCUGUGCUGAGGUAAUAAAGAAGAAACACUUUAAAAACAAACAGAACAAAAAC